rnacentral:rRNA from 1 species
AUGAGGAAGAGCGCGGUCAUACCUGUACGCUGCUCACAGGACCAGAUUGAGGGAAUUGUUGCCACACUUGGUUGUGCGUUGGGAAGCUUUCCUUGCAAAUACCUUGGCUUGUCGCUCACUCUCAGGAAACAAGCAGCAGCGCAAUUGCAAUAUCUAGUGGAUGGCCUUGGCGCAUGCUUGCCAUCUUGGCGGGCCUCCGCGCUGCCCAAGAGUGGGCGUCUCCUCCUAGUGAUGUCGGUCCUCAGCGCAAUGCCUCUUCACGCGAUGAUGGCCCUAGACCUGCCAGCAAGAACGAUCAACACGCUCAACAAGAUCAUCCGAGGGUUUCUUUGGUGUGGAAAGAAGGAAGCAAGGGGUGGCCACUGCGCGGUUGCAUGGUCAUCAGUGUGCAUGCCCAAGUGGGAUGGCGGCCUUGGAAUCCCAGAUAUGAGGUGGCUCAAUACGGCCAUGCAAGUUAGGUGGCCGUGGCUGCAGCGGGUGGACCAAACCAGGUGUUGGUAG